rnacentral:rRNA from 1 species
GUUGGUGGGGUAAUGGCCUACCAAGGCAGUGAUGGGUAGCCGGCCUGAGAGGGUGACCGGCCACACUGGGAUUGAGAUACGGCCCAGACUCCUUCGGGAGGCAGCAGUCGAGAAUCUUCCACAAUGGACGAAAGUCUGAUGGAGCGACGCCGCGUGAGUGAUGAAGGCCCUACGGGUUGUAAAACUCUGUCAGGAGAGAAGAAUCGCCGGGGUGCCAAUACCAUCCUGGUUUGACGUUAUCUCCAGAGGAAGCUCCGGCUAACUCCGUGCCAGCAGCCGCGGUAAUACGGGGGGAGCAAGCGUUGUCCGGAAUUAUUGGGCGUAAAGGGCGUGUAGGCGGCUUGGUCAGUCGAAUGUGAAAUCCCACGGCUCAACCGUGGAAUUGCGUUCGAUACUGCCUGGCUUGAGUAUGUGAGAGGUGUGCGGAAUUCCUGGUGUAGCGGUGGAAUGCGUAGAUAUCAGGAAGAACACCGAUGGCGAAGGCAGCACACUGGCGCAAUACUGACGCUGAGGCGCGAAAGCGUGGGGAGCAAACAGGAUUAGAUACCCUGGUAGUCCACGCUGUAAACGAUGGGUACUGGGUUUCGGGGGUCUCAACCCUCUCGGAGCCGUAGCUAACGCGUUAA